AUGAUGCAAAGUUUUUUCCUUUGCAAGGUUGCAAUAGGGCCUUUUUUGAACAAGGGCCUCGUUGCAAUGGCAAUAGGCCCUUUGUUGCAAGAAAACAUCUCCGUUGCGGCCGUGUUCGCCGCCAGGCUCGUCUUCUCCGACGAUGACACUGCCCUCCACCACUUCGGCUACGUCGACUCCGUCUACUCCGCCACCUCGCUGCGGUUAGAUCUGGCGAGCCGCCGCUGCCAGGACGCCUCCUCCACCCUUCUUGGCUCGCGGCCUCCUCUAGCCUGCUCGCCCGCGACCGCCAGCCCCCGCAACGUCUGCUCCGCCACCUUGCCACGGCCAGAUCCGGCGAGCCUCCGCCGCCAGGCAUCCUUCUCCACCCACCUCUGUCAACGGAGCCAAGCGGCGGCAUCCUGGCAGCCGACCGACCUGCCUCCGCCUACCGUCGGAGAACGCGCGGAGAUGAAGCGGGGCAUCGCGGCCCCUCCAACCCUUGAAAUUCUCCCCUCCCCUCCGAUGGCCGGCAGCCCUCGCCCGGUGAGAGACCUCUACGACGUGGAGGAUCUGCUACUUCUGCGGCCCUCCAAGAGGUCCAGGGGGAAGGUGGAGAUCCCUCGCUGCCGUCUCGAGGAGGAGGCGGCCAUCAACGCCGCCAUCAAACUCAAGUCCAUGGUCGACUCGGGAGAUGUCAGUCUGGUCAAUCCGGAUGUACUGGCAUCCAAGCUACGGGCCAAGGACGCCAUCGAAGAAGCGAUCAAGGAGAUGGUUGAGAAACAGAUGGAGUGGUCGUCGCGAGAGACCCAGGAGGUGGAUGCGUGCAUCGCCAUCCUCAAGAACCGGCUCCAGACCCCCGACGCCGACAUCCCCCUUCCAGGCCCGUCGAUGGCGCCCCAGGGCAAGAGGAAAGUGAUCGAUCACUGCAUUUACCCCGAAAGCAAGUUUGGUCCCUAUCCUCUAUACGAUCUUAGUGCUGGUGUUAAUGAAGUUGAGUUUACAGCAGCACAGGAGGAAGAAGCGAGAGCCUCUGCGGUGCAGUCUCAACGGGCACUCUGGACUAUGAACCUCAAGGCGCACGAGGCUAAGAAGACGGUGCUGGAAGAGUAUGCACCCAAGGUGAAGAAAGCGUUCCAGGAGCUGCUCGCUGAUACACUGCGGGAGCCUUCCUUCAUUGGCGCUGGGGAUGGGUAUGCAGACUACGGGUUCCUCAGCCAUACUGGCCAGCUUCGCUGA
rnacentral:rRNA from 1 species